AACGCCGCGUGGAGGAAGAAGGCCCUAGGGUUGUAAACUCCUGUCAGGGGGAAAGAAGGCACCUGGGUUAAUAGCCCAAGGGCUGACGGUACCCCCCAGAGGAAGCCACGGCUAACUACGUGUCAGUCCCCGCGGUGACUGAGCGGGCUGGCAAGGCGCAUA
rnacentral:rRNA from 1 species